CCAGACUCCUACGGGAGGCAGCAGUGAGGAAUAUUGGUCAAUGGGCGGAAGCCUGAACCAGCCAAGUCGCGUGAGGGAAGAAGGCCCUGCGGGUCGCAGACCUCUUUGGACGGGGAGCAAGGCCGCCGACGUGUCGGCGGAAGGAGAGUACCCGUAGAACAAGCAUCGGCUAACUCCGUGCCAGCAGCCGCGGUAAUACGGAGGAUGCGAGCGUUAUCCGGAUUUAUUGGGUUUAAAGGGUGCGCAGGCGGCACGGCAAGUCUGGUGUGAAAGGCAGGGGCUCAACCCCUGGACUGCAUUGGAAACUGUCAGGCUGGAGUGCAGGAGAGGUAAGUGGAAUUCCUAGUGUAGCGGUGAAAUGCGUAGAUAUUAGGAGGAACACCAGUGGCGAAGGCGGCUUACUGGACUGUAACUGACGUUGAGGCUCGAAAGCGUGGGGAGCAAACAGGAUUAGAUACCCCAGUAAC
rnacentral:rRNA from 1 species